AGUGAACGCUGGCGGUAGGCCUAACACAUGCAAGUCGAACGGCAGCACAGUAAGAGCUUGCUCUUACGGGUGGCGAGUGGCGGACGGGUGAGGAAUACAUCGGAAUCUACUUUUUCGUGGGGGAUAACGUAGGGAAACUUACGCUAAUACCGCAUACGACCUACGGGUGAAAGCAGGGGAUCUUCGGACCUUGCGCGAUUGAAUGAGCCGAUGUCGGAUUAGCUAGUUGGCGGGCUAAAGACCCACCAAGGCGACGAUCCGUAGCUGGUCUGAGAGGAUGAUCAGCCACACUGGAACUGAGACACGCUCCAGACUCCUACGGGAGGCAGCAGUGGGGAAUAUUAGACAAUGGGCGCAAGCCUGAUCCAGCCAUACCGCGUGGGUGAAGAAGGCCUUCGGGUUGUAAAGACCUUUUGUUGGGAAAGAAAAGCAGCAGGUUAAUACCCCGCUGUUCUGACGGUACCCAAAGAAUAAGCACCGGCUAACUUCGUG
rnacentral:rRNA from 1 species